rfam:Lysinibacillus manganicus DSM 26584 contig67, whole genome shotgun sequence.
GCCGGCUUAGCUCAACUGGUAGAGCAACUGACUUGUAAUCAGUAGGUUGAGGGUUCAAGUCCUUUAGCCGGCA